AAAUAAAAUCAUCAUUAUAAAAAAAGAAUUAGACUUUUUCGCAUAUGCCAUAAUUUGAAUUUUUAAAAACGAAUAUAAAUUGUUCAAUACAUGAAAAAAUAUUAUAACGGGUGAAAAAUAGAUUUAAGAAAACUUUCUACUGAGUAACAGGUCAUAAUUUGAAAUAUUUAUAUUC
rnacentral:sRNA from 1 species